rnacentral:misc_RNA from 1 species
GAUGAAGAACGUAGCGAAAUGCGAUACGUAAUGUGAAUUGCAAAUUCAGUGAAUCAUCGAGUCUUUGAACGCACAUUGCGCCCGCUGGUAUUCCGGGGGGCAUGCCUGUCCGAGCGUCAUUGCUGCCCUCAAGCACGGCUUGUGUGUUGGGCCCCGUCCUCCGAUCCCGGGGGACGGGCCCGAAAGGCAGCGGCGGCACCGCGUCCGGUCCUCGAGCGUAUGGGGCUUUGUCACCCGCUCUGUAGGCCCGGCCGGCGCUUGCCGAUCAACCCAAAUUUUUAUCCAGGUUGACCUCGGAUCAGGUAGGGAUACCCGCUGAACUUAAGCAUAUCAAUAAGCGGAGGA